rnacentral:rRNA from 1 species
CGAGCACGCGCGUGUGGCAUAUCAAUAAGCGGAGGAAAAGAAACUAACAAGGAUUCCCUUAGUAACGGCGAGUGAAGCGGGAAGAGCUCAAAUUUGAAAUCUUCAAGGUUCUACCUUGACGAAUUGUAGUUUAUAGAAGUGUUUUCUGUUAGUAGAGUGGCAAAAGUUCUUUGGAAUAGGACAUCAUAGAGGGUGAGAAUCCCGUAUUUGACCAUUAUUCCCUAGCUGUGUGAUACACUUUCAAAGAGUCGGAUUGUUUGGGAAUGCAGUCCAAAAUGGGUGGUAAAUUUCAUCUAAAGCUAAAUAUUGGCGAGAGACCGAUAGCGAACAAGUACCGUGAGGGAAAGAUGAAAAGAACUUUGAAAAGAGAGUUAAACAGUACGUGAAAUUGUCAAAAGGGAAGCGUUUGACACCAGUGUUGUUUUUCCGAAAAUCAAUUACGAAUGUUUUGUUUUUGAGGAGUUAUGACUUCAUCGGCUUGCUUCUCUCUUUACGAAACUUUCUUAAUGCACUUUUCGGUUAACAAGUCAACAUCAAUUUCUUUUGUUGUAAAAGGGUAUGAGGAAGGUGGCUUUCUUUUCGGAGAAAGUGUUUAUAGCCUUGUACCUCUGCAAUCGGAGAGAUUGAGGUCUGCAGCGUAAAUCCUUCGGGGUUAGAUACAUUUGUGCUAAGUUAUAGCUUUUCAUAGACAACUUGUUGACUAUGUUAGUCUUGUAGCUUACUCGCUUAUGCUAUUUUACCUACGCUUAGGAUGUUGAUGUGAUACUGCGAGCA